ACGUCUCAUUGUGAUGGAUUAAUCCUUUGGCCCCGGUCCUGCCCGGGUCACCAGCUCAGCCUGCGCCCGCCGAGUGCUGGAGGGUGGACAAAGGGCACUUUAAUCACUCAGCACAUUCCCUCUUCUCUCCUGCAGAAGGGCCCUCUCCAGUUGCGCGGCCCUCGUACAGAAACCGGGAUGGACUUGCAGGUGGCGCGCCUCCAACAAGGAGACUGAAUCACCUGAAAGAACUGGAGAGCUCUGCAAAGGAGUGAAUGCAUCUUGUAAGCAAGGAGAGGGAGCUCUCUGGGACUGAGUGCACCCAAACUCUUGUGUCUCUCACAGUUAAAUCAAGAACUAUAAUUCUGACCAGCUAACCAGCCAAAGUUUAAUUGGGGGAAGAGAGAGAGAGAGAGAGAAAGUGAAAGUUAAUAAAAUUGUUUGCCUAUAUACAAAGUACAAAAUGUUAAGGAAUGCAAUAAAGCCUUCUUCGUG